rnacentral:tRNA from 1 species
UAGCUAAGUGGGUAGAGUGCCUGCCUUGCAUGCACAAGGCCCUGGGUUCAAUCCCCAG